rnacentral:rRNA from 1 species
CCUACGGGAGGCAGCAGUGGGGAAUUUUGGACAAUGGGCGCAAGCCUGAUCCAGCAAUGCCGCGUGAGUGAAGAAGGCCUUCGGGUUGUAAAGCUCUUUUGUCAGGGAAGAAACGGUGUGGGCUAAUAUCCCGCACUAAUGACGGUACCUGAAGAAUAAGCACCGGCUAACUACGUGCCAGCAGCCGCGGUAAUACGUAGGGUGCAAGCGUUAAUCGGAAUUACUGGGCGUAAAGCGUGCGCAGGCGGUUUUGUAAGUUUGUCGUGAAAUCCCCGGGCUCAACCUGGGAAUGGCGAUGAAGACUGCAAGGCUAGAAUCUGGCAGAGGGGGGUAGAAUUCCACGUGUAGCAGUGAAAUGCGUAGAGAUGUGGAGGAACACCGAUGGCGAAGGCAGCCCCCUGGGUCAAGAUUGACGCUCAUGCACGAAAGCGUGGGGAGCAAACAGGAUUAGAUACCCUGGUAGUCCACGCCCUAAACGAUGUCUACUAGUUGUCGGGUUUUAAUUAACUUGGUAACGCAGCUAACGCGUGAAGUAGACCGCCUGGGGAGUACGGUCGCAAGAUUAAAACUUAAAUGAAUUGACGG